rnacentral:lncRNA from 1 species
AAUCAUUGUCCUUGGCAAGAGCAGGUGGCUUCAUAUUAGGCCCAUAGACGAAUCUGCCUUGUGGAGUUGAUGUGAUUGCCAGGCCCUGCUGCAGAAUUGAUAAAGGAGUCUACUCAUCCGGGUCCGAGUAGUAGUCAAGGUCUUCGAUCGUAUCCGUUUUGGAUUGUGAUCUGGACAGGACUGCUUGAUAAGUAGUGGUCGCGCUGCAGAG